CACACCCCGGGGGCGGGCGCAGAGCCGGAAGGCCGCCCCGCGGCCACCCGCCAGCUCCGGCGGGAAGUAGCGCCGGCCGGCGGAGCGGCCCACCCGGGCUGGCGCGGAGGGAGACCCGGGCGCGGUGUGGACCUGCGGCCUUCUGUGAGCGGGAGCCUGGCCAGCGCGGGGCCCGGCGGCGGCCCGUGGUCCCAGAGGCCGAGGCGGAGCUGCGGGGUGUCCCGAGAGGAUGGUGAUACCCUGGGCCUGGAUUUCUUCCGAGCGUGACGCGCCCACUUCCAGGGCGCAUGUUUUGCCAGCGUCUGGCCCUCAUCACUCUUGGUCCCGUCUGUCCCCUCAGUCUUGGCGGCAGGUGCUAACGGGUUGACAAGGGUUGCUCGGUGCUCCCUUUCCCCAAACUGAAUUCUGCCUGGGAACAGCGCAGGAUCUUCCUCCUGGGAUCACAAGUCCUGGCUUAACUCUCCUCCCAGCUCUAGGCUGUUAAGCUGUUUGUUGGCCAGUCAGGUGUUCUGGAGAGCACUGAGACAGGAGAUUCUGACUGCAGCCAGAUCUCUGCACACAGAAGUCAGCACUUGAAUACACAGUGCACAAACCAUCCCGCAACAUUCUGUCUUUUAGUGCAAUAAAUGCUUUUUCUCCUUCAAUAGUAAGCUACAUACAAUAAGAACAAUUAUGGAGACUAUCAAUCCUUGUUUUGAGGAUCUCCUGCCUCAAUGUGUAAACACUGCUCUCCAAUUAUCCCCUGAUAUGCCAAUAAAGCAGCUUAUAGCCAAUCACUGAUGGGGAGAGAAUACCCUGGACUUCCUGCCAGCCAGGGGAGGAGGAAUGAGAAGAGGAAGGGAUUCAACCAUGUCAGGUCCAGAAGAGACAGGAAGAGAGAGCUCAGCAGGAAGCUACAAAGUAGCUGGCACGAAUGCAUACAGAUGAUUCAUUCAGUGAGAAUUUGGAUACUGGUGGAAAUCCAGCCCACCCCUGGCAUGUCCUGUGCUCUCUGCAGCCCACCCCUGGCUGGUCAGUUUUCCACCCUGAUGUGUAGUAUGACCUUGGAGCUGUUGGUACCAUUCGUCCCUCUGCCGUGACAGUUAAAAUUAAAGCCUCAGGACUUGAAGAGAAUUGACUGGUCAUAGUGAGAAAGUUGAUUCAGCCCAAGCCAGCCAGGCACCAGAAGCCCCAAAUCUCACUCGGCCUACUGCUCCUUCUGCCUACGCAUGCUUACUGCAAUGCUGGCAAUACUGGGAGCUGAAGAGAACAGAGCAUCAGCAUGGUUUAGACUGCACUGUACAUGCCACAGAAAUAAUGUGAAAUGAAGGACUCACUGUAGUUCAUCCGCAAGCACCUGAACAUCUAUAUAUCUAGAAUACCUUCACUGCAUAUUUUCUAUCAGUAAUGUAUACCUUUUAUUUUAUAUUUUAGUAUAAUAUUUUUUUCAAAAACUGUGUUCACCAAUAAAUUCUAUGAAUGGGCAAAUGAA